UACAGAGGGUGCGAGCGUUAAUCGGAAUUACUGGGCGUAAAGCGUGCGUAGACGGCUAUCUAAGUCGGGUGUGAAAGCCCCCGGGCUCAACCUGGGAAUUGCAUUCGAGACUGAAUAGCUAGGGUACGGUAGAGGGAAGUGGAAUUUCCGGUGUAGCGGUGAAAUGCGUAGAUAUCGGAAGGAACAUCAGUGGCGAAGGCGGCUCGUCUGGGACGGUACUGACGCUGAGACGCGAAAGCGUGGGGAGCGAACAGG
rnacentral:rRNA from 1 species